CAACCUGCCGUCUACUCUUGGACAGCCUUCUGAAAGGAAGAUUAAUACAAGAUGGCAUCAUGAGUUCACAUGUUCACAUGAUUAAAGGUAUUCCGGUAGACGAUGGGGAUGCGUUCCAUUAGAUAGUAGGCGGGGUAACGGCCCACCUAGUCUUCGAUGGAUAGGGGUUCUGAGAGGAAGGUCCCCCACAUUGGAACUGAGACACGGUCCAAACUCCUACGGGAGGCAGCAGUGAGGAAUAUUGGUCAAUGGGCGAGAGCCUGAACCAGCCAAGUAGCGUGAAGGAUGACUGCCCUAUGGGUUGUAAACUUCUUUUAUAAAGGAAUAAAGCCGGGUAUGUAUACCCGUUUGCAUGUACUUUAUGAAUAAGGAUCGGCUAACUCCGUGCCAGCAGCCGCGGUAAUACGGAGGAUCCGAGCGUUAUCCGGAUUUAUUGGGUUUAAAGGGAGCGUANAUGGAUGUUUAAGUCAGUUGUGAAAGUUUGCGGCUCAACCGUAAAAUUGCAGUUGAUACUGGAUAUCUUGAGUGCAGUUGAGGCAGGCGGAAUUCGUGGUGUAGCGGUGAAAUGCUUAGAUAUCACGAAGAACUCCGAUUG
rnacentral:rRNA from 1 species